GAUGAAGAACGUAGCGAAAUGCGAUACGUAAUGUGAAUCGCAGAAUUCAGUGAAUCAUCGAAUCUUUGAACGCAUAUUGCGCUCUCUGGUAUUCCGGAGAGCAUGCUUGUUUGAGUAUCAGUAAACACCUCAACUUCCAUAUCUUUUUUUGAAAUGGGAGUUGGACUUGAGUGAUCCCAACGCUUUUCCUCACCGAAAAGUGGCGGGUUACUUGAAAUGCAGGUGCAGCUGGACUUUUCUCUGAGCUAUAAGCAUAUCUAUUUAGUCUGCCUAAAAAACAGAUUAUUACCUUUGCUGCAGCUAACAUAAAGGAGAUUAGUUCUUGUGCUGACUGAUGCAGGAUUCACAAAGACAGCUUCGGCCGACUUUGUAAACUCGAUCUCAAAUCAAGUAAGACUACCCGCUGAACUUAAGCAUAUCAAUAAGCGGAGGA
rnacentral:misc_RNA from 1 species